rnacentral:rRNA from 1 species
CCUACGGGGGGCAGCAGUCGGGAAUAUUGCACAAUGGAGGAAACUCUGAUGCAGUGACACCGCGUAUAGGAAGAAGGUUUUCGGAUUGUAAACUAUUUUAGACAGGGAAGAAAAAAGACAGUACCUGUAGAAUAAGCUCCGGCUAACUACGUGCCAGCAGCCGCGGUAAUACGUAGGUGGCAAGCGUUAUCCGGAAUUAUUGGGCGUAAAGAGCGCGCAGGUGGUUAAUUAAGUCUGAUGUGAAAGCCCACGGCUUAACCGUGGAGGGUCAUUGGAAACUGGUUGACUUGAGUGCAGAAGAGGGA